CUCCUAAAGGUAAUGAUUUGUGUCUUAAUCCUUUUUUUCAGUCUGUCAUGAAUUAGGUAUUUAACCGUAAUUAGAAAAUUAGGCAAUGGUGGUAUAACCUCUGUCAAAUCUAAAAGGUUUGACGAAGACCAAAUCUAGUUUUAAUUUUAGGAACACAAUUAGUCAAGGACUGCACGUACCUUCUUGCUGAUCCCAAGAAAUGGAC